ACUUGAUGAUGUGGGCAUGUACAAAAAAGGUCCCUAAAGCGCUCCCACGUCUCGAAAAUUGCUCACAAUCUAUCUAUAAGAAACUAGUGAUGGCCUUCCUAAGUU